ensembl:snRNA U6 U6 spliceosomal RNA
GUGCUCGCUUCGGCAGCACACAUACUAAAACUGGAACGAUGCAGAGAAGAUUAGCAUGGCCCCCCUGCGCAAGGACGACAUGCGCAAAUUCAUGAAGCUUCCACAUUUUU